UUUUCGGCAAUGGGGGAAACCCUGACCGAGCAAUGCCGCGUGAACGAAGAAGGUCUUCGGAUUGUAAAGUUCUUUUAUUCGGGAAGAAAGGUAUGUUCAGGAAAUGGGACAUAUUUGACGGUACCGAUUGAAUAAGCCCCGGCUAACUACGUGCCAGCAGCCGCGGUAAUACGUAGGGGGCGAGCGUUAUCCGGAAUUAUUGGGCGUAAAGCGUGCGUAGGCGGUUUGUUAAGUCACUUGUAAAAGAUCUCAGCCCAACUGAGUAGGGCGAGUGAAACUGGCAGACUUGAAUACGGUAGAGGUAAGUGGAAUUCCAUGUGUAGCGGUGGAAUGCGUAGAUAUAUGGAGGAACACCAAUGGCGAAGGCAACUUACUGGGCCGGAAUUGACGCUGAGGCACGAAAGCGUGGGGAGCAAACAGGAUUAGAUACCCUGGUAGUCCACGCCGUAAACGAUGAGAACUAAGUGUUGGAGUAAAAUUCAGUG
rnacentral:rRNA from 1 species